rnacentral:rRNA from 1 species
AUGAACGCUGGCGGCGUGCUUAACACAUGCAAGUCGAACGGUGAAGGCGGAGCUUGCUCUGCUGGAUCAGUGGCGAACGGGUGAGUAACACGUGAGCAAUCUGCCCCUGACUCUGGGAUAAGCGCUGGAAACGGCGUCUAAUACUGGAUACGAGCUGCGAAGGCAUCUUCAGCAGCUGGAAAGAAUUUCGGUCAGGGAUGAGCUCGCGGCCUAUCAGCUUGUUGGUGAGGUAAUGGCUCACCAAGGCGUCGACGGGUAGCCGGCCUGAGAGGGUGACCGGCCACACUGGGACUGAGACACGGCCCAGACUCCUACGGGAGGCAGCAGUGGGGAAUAUUGCACAAUGGGCGAAAGCCUGAUGCAGCAACGCCGCGUGAGGGACGACGGCCUUCGGGUUGUAAACCUCUUUUGGCAGGGAAGAAGCGAAAGUGACGGUACCUGCAGAAAAAGCGCCGGCUAACUACGUG